UUUUGAGAAGAGACGUGUGAUGAUGAUCUCAAAAAGGAUGGUUCAUGACUUCUAUUUGAACAUUGGCCCUCUCUGUCGCCAACCUGACCCCUCCUCGCGUGUUCCUCCCCCCUCUCGGGCAUUUGCUUACUUAAAGAUCCAAGAGUCUCCCAAUCGUGGUAACCCAGAAGAAUAUGUCUUGUUUACAACCACCACCUUUAGUGUACCGCAUUCUCCAGAUUUCGUCUAAAGAAUCCUUGGAGAUGAAAGUAGACGUCAUGAGCUGGAUGCGUCUGGGAGGAUUGGCCGACUCACAGAGGUGACAUGUUACACAACUGGUGAUGACCCCAGGAACAAGAUAUCCGUUCAGGCUAACCAGUCGGUCCUCAAUGAGCUCUUAUUACAAGAGACGAGUGUCAGCCCGUCUGGUUCACUAGUGGUGUGGUCCUUGCU